rnacentral:misc_RNA from 1 species
ACACCUCAACUCUUCAUGGUUUUCUGUGAUGAGCUUGAACUUUGGGGGUUUUGCUGGCCUAUGGUCAGCUCCUCUAAAACGAAUCAGCUUGCCAGUGUUUGGUGGGCAUCACAGGUGUGAUAACUAUCUACGCUUGUGGUUUUCCCACCAGGUAACCUUCAGCAGUGGAGGUUCGCUGGAGCUCACAGAUGUCUCUCCUCAGUCAGGACGACCCUUUGAAU